AGUGGCGCACGGAUGAGUAACACGUGGAAACCUGCCUUUCGGUUCGGGAUAACGUCUGGAAACGGACGCUGCACCGGAUAUGCCCUUCGGGGGAAAGUUUACGCCGUGAUAGGGGCCCGCGUCCGAUUACGUAGUUGAUGGGGUAAUGGGCCACCAAGCGGACCAUCGGUACCUGGACUGAGAGGAGGAUCGACCGGCUGUCACUGACACUGGGCCCGAACUCCUACCGGAAGCCCCACUGGGGAAUAUUGUACAAUGGGGGCAACCCUGAUCCAGCCCUGCCUCGUGAGUGAUGAAGGGCUUAAGGUUGGAAAGCUCUUUCUCACGCUACUAUGAUGACGGUAACGAGAAAAGAAGCCCCGGAUAACUUCCUGCCUACAUCCGCGGUAAUACCAACGGGGCUAGCGUUGUUCGGAAUUACUGUCCGUAUUGGGGGCGUAGGCGGCCUGUUUAGUCGGAAGUGAAAGCCCCGGGCUUAACCUGGGAACGACUUUGGAUACUGCUUGGCUUGAUUUCCGGAUAGGAUGGUGGAGAUCCCAGUGUAGAUCUGAGUUUCGAAGAUAUAGUCAAGAACAUUGGUGGCAAAGGCGGUCAUCUAGGCGGACACUGACACUGACGCUCACAAUCAUGCGGAGCAAACUGGAUUACAUACCCUAGUAGUCCACCCCGUAGUCG
rnacentral:rRNA from 1 species